AGUUCAAUUUUAGGGUCUUCUAGUCUAGAAGCCCGAAUUUCGAGCGUUUUUUGGCAGUCGAUAAAAAAAAAGCAUUUGAUAUUUUUAUUGUCCAUUUUUUUAUCAUUUGUUUAUUUAUAUUCAGAUAGUACACAAAAUUAAUUUAAAAAAAAAAAAUUUUUUUAUCAAGUUAUGCGUCCUUGAAGUAGAGGGGGAAAAAAGGCCGUGUCCUCGUCGCCAUGAUUUCUGCCCUUGUGGUCAUCUGAAAAAUAAAACAAUGAUGGAUUCUUGAUUAGUACAAAUUUCGCUAUCUCAUGAACCAACAAAAAAUAAAAGUUUGAAAUUUUUAAUAAUUU